CUCCGCCGUAGGCAAUGCUAGGGUUUCAGUCUAAUACGGCGCCGAUUGAUUGCUUUUACAGUUUCGAACGAUUCAUACUUCUUCUUCCUCCUGGUCCAGAAAUCAUUCAGUUACGGAUUCAUUGCUAUUAAAUUAUUUCUUAACUCCAUCGUCACGAUCUAUCUUCAAUGCCACAUAAACUCUUCGAAGGCGGUGGAGGUUCGACUAUAAAAAGUCUGGUAGAUGUUCUUCCACGGUUGAGGUUAGGUUAUUGUGUUUCUGGGAGGCGAGGAAUAUCAGGCGCGGUGAUGAACUGAUGUCUGCUCCUGCUUGAUUCAAAUGCGGCUCUUAUGCCAGCCACCGUUGCAGCUAGCUGGGUUCCAACCUUUGGUUCCCAUCUCAUGGUGGGGUCGAUGUAUUCUUAAUCGGUUUUGAAGUGGCUCGGUGUAAUCCAAACUUCAGGCUAACGGACUCUUCUUUGUUGAUCCGGUUCAGUGAUGCAACCUCCUUGAAGGUGUUGACUGAACCGAGUUCUCCGCUGCCUGAAGAAUGUUUCCGUUUUCGUAGUCGGAGUGCUUGCUCUAGCAAACACCAGCUCUCAACUCUCGGACAUCAUUGGGGAGAUCACGACGGUUAAGAUUUCCGUCAGUGACCCUCCGGGAGACAAAAAUCACUCGACGGCGACGCACAGACUCAGCCUUCACAUGUGUGCACUGCGACAAUACAUAUGUGGUUGGUGCUCUCCGGUAUGUAACACACUGUAUUAUGAAUGAUCAAGAGUGGAGAAAUGGAAGAAGAAUUAGAAGAGACGCUUGCGACAAAUGAAAAAUUGUGAGCAACAGGUGAUACAGUGAGUUUUGGUGAGAGAGGACAGAUGUCGAUCUCACAGAGCUAGACUUUCUGACUUGGCAUCCUAGGUGGCAUGCUUCAGGAGAGAGCAAACCAUACUUUAUAUAAUUAGAUUAGAUGUUUCACCAUCACACGGAUACUUAACGGACUUUAUCAACUUCCCUGCAUCCGUUGAUAAUGGAGACAACGUGAAAAAGGGGGACGACAUACCAGUUGACAACACGGUUCCUGCUGAGGUUGAAACCGGGGGUAGCAGUCAGCAGGCAGCACCGGAUGCAACAGCAGUCCCAAAUGGUAAAGGACCACAGGAGCCUUCAGCCAAAGCAGCUCGCUUAAUGAUUUGGCAAUAGAGUUACUUUAUCUCAAAAAAAUGUUUUUGCAUCAAUGUUGGUUUUUUUUUAAAUUAAGGAUGUUGUGUCUGCUUCUGGUUUUUA